rnacentral:rRNA from 1 species
GGGUCAGUAGGUUGGUCGUGCCACCGGUACGUACUGGUCUCACUGAUUACUCCUUCCUGAAGAACCGUAAUGCCACUAAUUUGGUGUUGCGGGGAAACAGGACUGUUACUUUGAAAAAAUUAGAGUGUUUAAAGCAAGCUAACGCUUGAAUACAUUAGCAUGGAAUAAUGAAAUAGGACGAUCGAUCCUAUUUUGUUGGUUUCUAGGAUUGACGUA